rnacentral:rRNA from 1 species
ACGCUGGCGGCGUGCCUAACACAUGCAAGUCGAACGGGACUUAAUGGAAUGCGGCUUCGGCCAAGUGAAGUUAAGUUAGUGGCGAACGGGUGAGUAACGCGUGAGGAACCUGCCUUCCAGUGGGGGACAACAGUUGGAAACGACUGCUAAUACCGCAUAAUGUAUUCGGACCGCAUGAUCUGAAUACCAAAGCUUUAUGUGCUGGAAGAUGGCCUCGCGUCUGAUUAGCUAGUUGGUGGGGUAACGGCCCACCAAGGCGACGAUCAGUAGCCGGUCUGAGAGGAUGAACGGCCACAUUGGGACUGAGAUACGGCCCAGACUCCUACGGGAGGCAGCAGUGGGGAAUAUUGGGCAAUGGGGGAAACCCUGACCCAGCAACGCCGCGUGAAGGAAGAAGGCCUUCGGGUUGUAAACUUCUUUUACCAGGGACGAAGAACGUGACGGUACCUGGAGAAAAAGCAACGGCUAACUACGUG